GAUACCUCUCUGUGAGAGAAGAAGCAGCGAUGUCGCAGCAAGGUCAAAUUCCGAUAAACCCUAUGGUUCCUCCGCAGAACCCAAUGGCCAUGCAGGUUCCCAUGCCUAUGCACAUGCAGAUGCAGAUGCCCAUACCCAUGCCCAUGCCCUUACCCAUGCAGAUGCAGAUGCAGAUGCCCCUCCCCAUGCCGCUCCAGAUUCCCUUUUCCGUCCAGGACUCCGCCGCCGCGGCCCCCUCCUCCGGAAAGCGCCGCCGCGAUGAUGAGGCUCCGGGCACCGCCGGCGCCGCCGACCAGUCGGCGGCGAAGCGUGUUAAGGGACAGGACGUGAUAUUCAGGAUCGUUGUGCCCUCGCGCCAGAUCGGAAAGGUCAUUGGGAAGGAAGGGUGCCGCAUACAGAAGAUUCGAGAAGACACCAGAGCCACCAUUAAGAUCGCGGAUGCUAUCGCUAGACAUGAAGAGCGUGUUAUAAUUAUUAGUUCCAAGGACAAUGAUGAAAAGGUUACUGGUGCAGAGAAAGCUCUUGAGCAAAUAGCUCAUUUAAUUUUAAAGGAGGAUGAUAGCAGUUUUGAUGCAUCAAAAGUUACUGCAGGACAUGUGGCUGCCAAUACGAUAAGGCUUUUGAUUGCGGGGUCCCAGGCAGGUGGAUUAAUUGGGAUGUCUGGUCAAAAUAUCGAGAAAUUAAGGAACUUAUCUGGUGCCACUAUUACUGUUCUUGCCCCGAAUCAGUUGCCUUUAUGUGCUUCUGCCCAUGAAUCUGAUAGAGUAGUACAGUUAUCAGGAGAUUUUCCUGCCGUAAUGAAGGCUUUGGAUGAGAUAGGUUGUCAGCUAAGGGAAAACCCACCGAGACAAGUGAUUUCAAUUAGCCCAACAUAUAAUUAUGCUGCAAUUCGACCAUCCCAACCAUAUCUUGACCCAACUUCAGGACAACCAAUCUUGCAGUUGAUUAUGUUACCUUCGAGAUGCUGAUUUCGGAAACAAUGGUUGGUGGGUUGAUUGGCCGGUGCGGCUCAAACAUAUCGAGGAUCAGAAACGAGUCUGGAGCAAUGAUUAAGGUUUAUGGUGGUAAGGGUGAACAAAAGCAUAGACAAAUUCAAUUUGGUGGUAGUGCACAACAGGUAGCCUUGGCAAAACAGAGAGUUGAUGAAUAUAUUUACUCUCAGUUGAUACAACAAACUGGCACCCAACAGUCAGCGUAAGUAUUUUUUUUUAUGAACUGGAUUGAAAUUGUAAAAUUGUUUUUAGUAAACAAGGAACAGGCACAUCAUUGUAAUAACUAAGAUAUUCCUUUUUCUGUAAAAGCUUUUAACCCCAUUUUAGAAGGUGACAUUUUAUGGUUCAUUGAUAGUGUAAAGUUGUUUAGUGUUAGUGGAUUAAACUAUUAAGUUCUUUUAAGUGAUUUGCUACAGAUGUUUUAGUUUGAGGUUUCAAUACAUGUCUUAUAAUUUUUGUUCCAGCAUAUGACUGUAAACAGUAAGCAGAUUACAGCUUAAGUUUACUAAAUAAGAUUUUAUUUCUUACA